GGUCUAAUAGUGUAGAGGUUAUCACACGGGAUUUUGAUUGCCAGUUAAGAACCAUUUCCCGUAACCCAGGUUCGAGUCCUGGUUAGACCU